rnacentral:rRNA from 1 species
AACGAACGCUGGCGGCAUGCCUAACACAUGCAAGUCGAACGAGACCUUCGGGUCUAGUGGCGCACGGGUGCGUAACGCGUGGGAACCUGCCCUUAGGUUCGGAAUAACUCCCCGAAAGGGGUGCUAAUACCGGAUAAUGUCUUCGGACCAAAGAUUUAUCGCCUUUGGAUGGGCCCGCGUUGGAUUAGCUAGUUGGUAGGGUAAAAGCCUACCAAGGCGACGAUCCAUAGCUGGUCUGAGAGGAUGAUCAGCCACACUGGGACUGAGACACGGCCCAGACUCCUACGGGGGGCGGCAGGGGGGAAAAUUGGAAAAGGGGCGAAACCCUGAUCCAGCAAGGCCGGGGGAGGGAUGAAGGCCUUGGGGUUGUAAAGCUUUUUUACCCGGGAUGAUAAGAACAGUACCGGGAGAAUAAGCCCCGGCUAACUCCGU